rnacentral:lncRNA from 1 species
AAAGUGUACGGUCUGGAGAGUGGAUAACCUGAGGAUUUUUGCUGAGACGUGGGGUCCUUGCAUGGUUCAGAGACCUGUGCAUUUGUCACGCACCACUGCACUGCCUAGCAUUAGUCACCAUUCAGAACAUGCAUCUCUGUAGGAAUCAUGUCUUCAGGACCAAAUAGGAAAAGGAAAGAACGUGGAGCCCCUGAGAAUUUAAACACAGAGCCAACAACUCCAGUCUUGUCACCUUCAGACAGCCCAG